CAGGAUCCUGGCUUCAUGGCCCCAGGGAUAUAAUGCAAGGCUCCAGCUGGUUAAUUGCUUCCCCACCAGGAAGGAUGUUUUGCCGGACUAGGCCCGCGUGCACGUCCCUGGGGAUCAGCGUGGAGGAGCAGAGCCUGCAGC
ensembl:miRNA